UCGAUCGGAGCCGCGUAGCAGCUUACCUGGUCUUGACAUCCACGGAAGUUUUCAGAGAUGAGAAUGUGCCUUCGGGAACCGUGAGACAGGUGCUGCAUGGCUGUCGUCAGCUCGUGUUGUGAAAUGUUGGGUUAAGUCCCGCAACGAGCGCAACCCUUAUCCUUUGUUGCCAGCGGUCCGGCCGGGAACUCAAAGGAGACUGCCAGUGAUAAACUGGAGGAAGGUGGGGAUGACGUCAAGUCAUCAUGGCCCUUACGACCAGGGCUACACACGUGCUACAAUGGCGCAUACAAAGAGAAGCGACCUCGCGAGAGCAAGCGGACCUCAUAAAGUGCGUCGUAGUCCGGAUUGGAGUCUGCAACUCGACUCCAUGAAGUCGGAAUCGCUAGUAAUCGUGGAUCAGAAUGCCACGGUGAAUACUUUCCCGGGCAA
rnacentral:rRNA from 1 species